AACAACAGACAUUAAAAAGUGAAAACUAUCUGAAGGGAAAAUAGUACAUAGGUUUUUAGAGAUAAACAUCAUACAUUUACUGACACAAUAUACGUCAGCUUAAAGCUCCUCCUACAGUCAGUCUUUCAGGAUCUUUCCACUUUUGUUGUGUGUGAGUAGAUUCACUCUGAUGGCCUCUGCCUGGGCUGGCUGAGCUGUGCUUGUUGGAACAUGCCUAGACUUGUACUGACUCGCCUGGCUGAGGAAAGAGAGAGCCUUGAGCCCUGCCCUCAACAGUUUCACCAUGCCCUGCUUGAAUUGACCCUCAGGCAAACAAACAAAACCAGCAGAGUGGCUCAACACUGGCAGUUGACUGUCCUGGUGGACAUUCAGAGUGGACGGACACACUGGACAGAACCAGAACAGGACCUUGGAUCUUCAGCUGUACCCAGUCUAAAAUCUGUCCUCAAUUCUAACACUACUUUACUGCUCUUGGGGAUUCCCCUUCACAGUGAAACCUCCUCUUCAUCAGCCGAGACAGCAGGCAUCCUCCACUAACCUACCAGCUGCCACAGAGGAAACACAACGUUCAUCAAGGUGGGAAGCAGGCAGACUUGGGAGGACUACAACACUAUUCACCCUCGACGCGGAAACCUAUUGAACUGACCAUUCUCUGACAACAUCACCAGGUCGGACCUGAUAGUGGCCCGUGUGUGUGUGUGUGUGUGUGUGUGUGUGUGUGUGUGUGUGUGUGUGUGUGUGUGUGUGUGUGUGUGUGUGUGUGUGUGUGUGUGUGUGUGUGUGUGUGUGUGUGUGUGUGUGUGUGUGUGUGUGUGUUAGAUUCCCUGUUGGAAACAUAGCAGGGAGAAACUGUACCAACCAGUGAUGAUGAAGAGGCCAGUAACUCAGGAUCUGCUGGAUGGAUGUGGCUGCUGGGAGUGUUUCUCUGGCAGUGUCUUAGCUGGUUGUUGUGAGGGAGAGAACGAAGCAAUCAGCAAGUAUACUGCCGCAGAAACUCUUCGCACUACGAGCCCAGGCCCCUGGAAUCAGCAAGUAGGCCAUUGGCCCUGGAAUCAGCAAGUAGGCCAUUGGCCCCCUGGAAUCAGCAAGUAGGCCAUUGGCCCCUGGAAUCAGCAAGUAGGCCAUUGGCCCCUGGAAUCAGCAAGUAGGCCAUUGGCCCCUGACUCUCAGAUGUCAUUCCCCCAGAGCGACAGAAGGAAUGAGGAAGAGAAGAGCACUAUUUUUAGUAUGAUUAUUACCACUGGACUCAUGUCGGAUGAUAGACUGAUGAUGCGUUUGGGAUAUGGUAACGUUGUGUGUAUAACCUGAGUAUAACCUGAGUGCGUGGUAUUCUGUUUUAAACGAAUGCAAUCCUCUAGCGCCAUCUUGUGUCUCAAAUGUUAAGUUGAGCCAAAUUGUGCAUACAUCAACACACCGAUAAUGUGUUGAUGUAUAAUGAAGUUAUUACAGUUAUUACCGGUUUGUAUCUCUUAAAAUAUAUAUUUGCAAUGCUUUUUUGCAAUCACUUGCUCUGGGUUAUUGAAAAUAAACAGAAAAUAUUGAAAAAAGAACUGUCAAUAUAGUCAUGUCUUGUCUUCGUCAUUCGUCAUUUCCUGUUUGAUCUGCACAGACCCAGGCUUGAAGACGAUCUUGAGUCAAGAGAAACAUUGUAUGGGUGGUAGUUAGUCUAGUGGUUAAAGACAGGUAGUCUAGUGGUUAGCGUGUCGGGCCAGUAACCGAAAGGUUGCUGGAUUGAAUCCUCGAGCUGACAAGGCAAAAAACUGUCGUUCUGCCCCUGAACAAGGCAGUUAACCCACAGUUCCCCGGUAGGCCAUCAUUGUAAAUAAGAAUUUGUUCUUAACUGACUUGCCUAGUUAAAUAAAGGUUCAAAACAUUGUAUAUUGACUACAGUUACUUGAGUUUGUUUGACUGUCGGAUCCAUUUGCAUUGUCCGGUUAUCAUAAAGCAAAAUGCAAACAUGGGAAUAUAAACAGGGAAGUUGACAUUAGAUAUGUAAUCUGCUAACAUUCACUACUGGUCAAAAGUUUUAG
rnacentral:lncRNA from 1 species